CCCAAGGGUGUCAGGCCAAAGAAGAAAACAGAGAUUUGUUAAAGGUGCUAACAAUAAGUACUGUGAUCAGUGAGCAUCUUAGGCUGAGAGCUGAGGAUAAGAAGCUUUUUUGUUCUCCACACAGAAGAAAAAAUUCUAUUUAAGCACAGCUGACUGUUGAAGUAAAGCAAAUUGGACCACAAAGCUGUGCACAUUUAUGCAAAGACUUAUUGGAACCAAAAGCUGCUCAAAAGAUUUCAUUCUAGAAGAAAAUCCUAGCCAUCGUACAAUUAUGAAGAAAGUAAUAUGCUGAUGGCAAAGAAGAAUGGAA
rnacentral:lncRNA from 1 species